rnacentral:rRNA from 1 species
UGGCGGACGGGUGAGUAACGCGUGGGUAACCUGCCUCACACAGGGGGAUAACAGUUGGAAACGACCGCUAAUACCGCAUAACCCGCUGGUAUCGCAUGAUACUGACGGAAAAGAUUUAUCGGUGUGAGAUGGACCCGCGUCUGAUUAGCCAGUUGGCAGGUAACGGCCUACCAAAGCGACGAUCAGUAGCCGGCCUGAGAGGGUGAACGGCCACAUUGGGACUGAGACACGGCCCAAACUCCUACGGAAGGCAGCAG